AAGACAGAAAAUUGUUUCUUACCAUCUUAAUUAUGCUUUUAUUUAAAAAGCAAAGCAACAUUUUUGGCCAGCUUCCAC
rnacentral:lncRNA from 1 species